AUGAAGUCCACAGGGACUUCAUAGAAUCAGACAAAAUUACCUCCUGAAAUAUCCUUUAAAUUCAUUUAAAACUAACAUGCAUUCAGUUCUGAAGUAGGACAGGUACUUGCAGACAAAUAUUUAAUAUCUGCACUCACUUGUAAAGCUCACUUUACAAGAGAGAUACUUCAGAGAAAAAUGUUAUCACCCCCAACGUGACUUUACCUGCAAGCAAAGUGCCGAACUAGAAACGGGAAGCCCUCGGAUGCUGUGGAAUACAGUCCAAGGAAGAGUUCUCAGAAUUAUUGAUAUUCAGACCAAUAAAUGUCUGACAUUCACCCCUUGAGAGGAGGGUGACUCCUCACCUUCCAGGUUAAGACAGCAACUUUACAUGAAAUGGAUGAUUGGUUGGGAGAUUGUGAAUCCUGGC